GUAAAGCUCACCAGUUAGACUGAUGGAAGGACCCACUGAGCAGAAGGGGGCCAGGAAGAAAUGGAGUCUGUGAAAAAAUAGACAAAUACAGCUACAUUUUUUAUUUACCUGGCUUUUCAGCAAGGCUGGUUGUGGUUCUCCUAGGACAGAUCCCAGGAAGCAUUGCGGUGGAAUAAACAGAAAUCUACAAGAAAUAUCUCGCGGGUUUAUAAAGAAAGGGGAUGGAGCACAGGCAUGCUUUCCUACUCUCUGCAUGUUGGAAUGCAGCAAGAGACCUCACCGAAGGUGGCCCAUGGACCCUGGAUCUCCAAA